CUUUUCAGCUUUUGUCCAAUCCGCCUUGCUUUCCUUGUAGAUUGUGAACCCCAGGCCUGCCAGCAAGAUGGCUGCCCACACUGACAGAGGUAACAGAGGGAUGUAAUUGCCAACCAUCUUCCGGCGACCCGAUGUCCCCCAGCUGCUUUUGGUCAUGGAAGCACGCGUACGCCGCUUUCACCAGACCGAUGAGCUGGAUGCAGCACAAGACCCACAAGAUGUCCCAUAGAGUGCCGGUCCAGAAGACCUUGAUGAUGGUGGCAGUAACGAAAAAUGGAAAGAUGCCCGAGACGAUGGAUUCAUAGGUCAUCCACAGGGCUUUGGUAAAGAAUGUGCUCUUGGAGACGUUGAAGAUGAAGAUAAUUUCUGGAGGCUUCAGUAACCCUCGGAGAGAUGACCUUAACAGUAUUUAAAAUAUGUUUCUGUUUGGGUAAAGGAGAACAAGAAAUUAAUCUGCUGCAUUGCAUGCUCUGCACACUUUCUAGCAGGGCUGCUAACUGUUGAGUUCAACUUGGAGUGAGAUUUACUUAUGGGAGGGGGUGUUCGGGGGUGCAUAAAAGGCUUAUUCGCAGUAUUCGCAUCAUUUUGACUUUGACGAGCACUUUUAGACUGACGAUGAUUAAGUCAGACCAGGUAAAGAUAGGCUUUGUACAGUAUUUACAGUUAGGCAUAUUAAGCAAUUAUUUCAUGACUUUAUAUACCAUGGGGAUCUCAAUGGUGGGCACAAGCCUGCUUGAGAAAAUGGAUGUGUGGCGUGAGAGUGUGAGAAUGGGGUCAGUUGGGUGAGGGUUGGCAGCUCUGCUUUCUAGGUCAUGACAAAUCUGUUCCACAAAAUUGAAGUUUGUAUAUGAGAAGUUGAGAUGCAAAACCUUCUAAGUGCGUCUGACAUGAGCAUUUUUCUGACAUGAGCAUCUUGUGUUUAGGUUCAGUAAAUUCACUUUAAUGGCAAUGAAAAGGUUUUUCAGUUAUUGAAAUGCC